rnacentral:rRNA from 1 species
GAUCAUGGCUCAGGAUGAACGCUGGCGGCGUGCCUAACACAUGCAAGUCGAGCGAUUCUCUUCGGAGAAGAGCGGCGGACGGGUGAGUAACGCGUGGGUAACCUGCCCUGUACACACGGAUAACAUACCGAAAGGUAUGCUAAUACGGGAUAACAUAAGAAAUUCGCAUGUUUUUCUUAUCAAAGCUCCGGCGGUACAGGAUGGACCCGCGUCUGAUUAGCUAGUUGGUGAGUAGUA